rnacentral:rRNA from 1 species
UUCGCAAUGCCCGAAAGGGUGACAAUGCGACGCCGCGUGAGCGAUGAAGGCCUUCGGGUUGUAAAGCUCUGUCAGCUUGGAUGAAAGGAGUGGAAUUAAUAACUUCACUCUCUGACAGUACAAGCAGAGGAAGCCACGGCUAACUCCGUGCCAGCAGCCGCGGUAAUACAGAGGUGGCAAGCGUUGUUCGGAAUUAUUGGGCGUAAAGAGCACGUAGGUGGGUUUGUAAGUCAGAUGUGAAAGCCUUCUGCUCAACAGAAGAAUUGCAUCUGAAACUGCGAGUCUUGAGUGUAGGAGGGGAGAAUGGAACUUCUGGUGGAGCGGUGAAAUGCGUAGAUAUCAGAAGGAACGCCGGCGGCGAAAGCGAUUCUCUGGCCUAUUACUGACACUCAGUGUGCGAAAGCUAGGGGAGCAAACGGGAUUAGAUACCCCGGUAGUCCUAGCCGUAAACGAUGGGCACUAAGUAGAGGGGUUUU